rnacentral:rRNA from 1 species
UGCAGGACACAUGAACAUUGACAUUUCGAACGCACAUUGCGGUCCAUGGAUUCCGUUCCCGGACCACGUCUGGCUGAGGGUCGGUAGUUAAAACUGAAAGGCAUUAUUCCGAUCCAUGCUGGGUGGUUCGCGGCAUGUGUGGCUUCAGCUGCCUCUGCGUCUCCUGAAAUGAACUCCGUUUGGAGCUGGACUUGUGACGAGGAAAACGGCUGGUCGCUUGGCGGCAGUUGAUUCCGGUGGUCCGCGCAGCGUCUCUGUAUGCUAGCGCCGGUUGCCCCGAUUCUUUCGCUUGGCGCGUCCCACCGUAGUGUCAUGAAAUGCCUUCCUACCACGACCUCAGAGCAGGCGAGACUACCCGCUGAAUUUAAGCAUAUCAAUAAGCGGAGGAA